rnacentral:tRNA from 4 species
GGGGCUGUAGCUCAGCUGGAAGAGCGCCGCCAUGGCAUGGCGGAGGCCAGGGGUUCGAGCCCCCUCAGCUCCA